CAGUUAAACAGCACAUCUCUGUUUAUUAGUGUUUUUGAAAGAAGAGCAUUUACUACUUGUCUUUAUAGAUAGGCCUACCGGCCUGCUGUAACUUUUUAAAAACACUGUUUUCCCAGUAGAGCUAUUAGUAGGCCUGUUAAAUGUUAUCGUGUUGGACUAGCCUAUUGUAGCCUAGACCUAUCCAAUGAACAGACAGAGGAACUGCAUCAAUUUCAGAUGAGCAAAUAAUUGACUUUUAUUACAUGACAGCGAUGAAGACUGGGCUCCGCCAAGCAAAAAAACAAGAGCUGAGGAUCCUGUGUCUGAGGAAGAGGAGCCGGUGGCCGAGACCAGUGGGACAAGAAAAGGAAAGGGUGCUGCAAGAAGCAGGGGGAGAGGCAGAGGAAGAGGGAGAGGCCAAGGCAGUGGAAGAGGGUGCUCCCGCAGGAGACAGGAGAGCGGAGACGCAGAACCAUGGCUUAUGUUAAUUAGCCUAACUGGAGAGAGACCUGGCUUAGUCUACCAUUCAUGAGGUCGCUGAACCGAAAUUCGUGCUGGCCGAUUGACAUUAGGCCUGGGUGAAGACUAUGAAAAUAGAUUAAUAUUACAGGAUCUCUAGGCUUACUGGACGGAAACCAUGUUUUCUUCAGGGGUGUCAAACUCAUUAGCCUAGGUAGCCUAGGUCAUCUUUUGGGAUGUGACCUCGUGGAGGGCCGUCAUUGUCAUGGUCAUUUUAUUUUUUCUUCAUGGGUGUCAGACUGUUAUUUGAUGAUAUCACUUAUGGGCAAUAAUUAAGUACAAAUAAUGCACUGCUGUCAUAUACUGCUCUUUCUUUCUUUAAAUACCCUACUUCCAUGUUAGUUUUCCCCCUUCUUCCUUCCUGAGGAUGGUUUGUAGUGCUAGGUUUAUUUUUAAGUCAUCAUAUCAUAGAUAUUGCUUAUAACAUAUUGGAUAUCUUUUUUCUAAUUUUCUCUUCCUACCCAAAACAUCUGGGGGCCGUAUGAAACCUGCUGGUGGGCCUGAUCUGGCCCCCAGGCCUUAUGUUUGACACCCCUGCUCCCCUUAAAAUGAGCUGCAUAUCCUAAAUAAAAUACUGUCAUUUCUCUGUGCAA